rnacentral:rRNA from 1 species
GAUGAACGCUGGCGGCGUGCCUAAUACAUGCAAGUCGAGCGAACAGACGAGGAGCUUGCUCCUCUGACGUUAGCGGCGGACGGGUGAGUAACACGUGGAUAACCUACCUAUAAGACUGGGAGAACUUCGGGAAACCGGAGCUAAUACCGGAUAAUAUAUUGAACCGCAUGGUUCAAUAGUGAAAGACGGUUUUGCUGUCACUUAUAGAUGGAUCCGCGCCGCAUUAGCUAGUUGGUAAGGUAACGGCUUACCAAGGCAACGAUGCGUAGCCGACCUGAGAGGGUGAUCGGCCACACUGGAACUGAGACACGGUCCAGACUCCUACGGGAGGCAGCAGUAGGGAAUCUUCCGCAAUGGGCGAAAGCUUGACGGAGCAACGCCGCGUGAGUGAUGAAGGUCUUCGGAUCGUAAAACUCUGUUAUUAGGGAAGAACAAAUGUGUAAGUAACUAUGCACGUCUGGACGGUACCUAAUCAGAAAGCCACGGCUAACUACGU